rnacentral:sRNA from 1 species
GCUGGGCAUGGUGGUGCAUGCCUAUGAUCCCAGUUGCUUGGGAGGCUGAGGCAGGAGGAUCAUGAGUUCAAAGCCAGCCUCAGCAAAAUCAAGGUGCUAAGCAAAUCAGUGAGACCCUGUCUCUA